AGGACGAACGCUGGCGGCGUGCCUAACACAUGCAAGUCGAACGGGGGUAGCAAUACCCUAGUGGCGAACGGGUGCGUAACACGUGAAGAACUUGUCCAUCGGCGGGGGAUAGCCGGCCCAACGGCCGGGUAAUACCGCGUACGCUUGUCGAGUGGCAUCACUUGACAAGGAAAGCAGCAAUGCACCGAUGGAGAGCUUCGCGGCCUAUCAGCUUGUUGGCGGGGUAAUGGCCCACCAAGGCAACGACGGGUAGCUGGUCUGAGAGGAUGAUCAGCCACAUUGGGACUGAGACACGGCCCAGACUCCUACGGGAGGCAGCAGUGGGGAAUAUUGCGCAAUGGGCGAAAGCCUGACGCAGCGACGCCGCGUGUGGGAUGACGGCCUUCGGUUGUAACCACUGUCGCGAGGGACGAAAAAAUGACGGUACCUCGAAAGGAAGCACCGGCUAACUCUGCGCCAGCAGCCGCGGUAA
rnacentral:rRNA from 1 species